AGUGAACGCUGGCGGUAGGCCUAACGCAUGCAAGUCGAACGGCAGCACAGUAAGAGCUUGCUCUUACGGGUGGCGAGUGGCGGACGGGUGAGGAAUACAUCGGAAUCUACUUUUUCGUGGGGGAUAACGUAGGGAAACUUACGCUAAUACCGCAUACGACCUACGGGUGAAAGCAGGGGAUCUUCGGACCUUGCGCGAUUGAAUGAGCCGAUGUCGGAUUAGCUAGUUGGCGGGGUAAAGGCCCACCAAGGCGACGAUCCGUAGCUGGUCUGAGAGGAUGAUAGGCCACAGCGGAAAUGGGACACGGGCAAGACUCCGACGGGAGGAAGCAGUGGGGAAUAUUCGGCAAUGGGCGAAAGCCUGAAGGAGCAACGCCGCGGGAGUGAAGAAGGUCUUCGGAUCGUAAAACUCUGUUAUUAGGGAAGAAAAAAAGUGUAAGUAAACAUGCCCGUCCUGACGGUACCUAAUCAGAAAGCAACGGCUAACUACGGG
rnacentral:rRNA from 1 species